AUUGAACGCUGGCGGCAUGCUUUACACAUGCAAGUCGAACAGUAACAGGCCGCAAGGUGCUGACGAGUGGCGAACGGGUGAGUAAUGCAUCGGAACGUGCCAGUCGUGGGGGAUAACGCAGCGAAAGCUGUGCUAAUACCGCAUACGAUCUAUGGAUGAAAGCGGGGGACCGUAAGGCCUCGCGCGAUUGGAGCGGCCGAUGUCAGAUUAGCUAGUUGGUGGGGUAAAGGCCCACCAAGGCGACGAUCUGUAGCUGGUCUGAGAGGACGACCAGCCACACUGGGACGGAGACACGGCCCAGACUCCUACGGGAGGCAGCAGUGGGGAAUUUUGGACAAUGGGCGCAAGCCUGAUCCAGCAAUGCCGCGUGCAGGAAGAAGGCCUUCGGGUUGUAAACUGCUUUUGUACGGAACGAAACGGUCUGGGUUAAUACCCUGGGCUAAUGACGGUACCGUAAGAAUAAGCACCGGCUAACUACGUGCCAGCCGCCGCGGUAA
rnacentral:rRNA from 1 species